GAUGUACCUCAGUGGUAGAGCACUUGCCCAGCAUGCAUGAGGCACUGGGUUCGAUCUUCAGCACCA
rnacentral:tRNA from 1 species